GAAGAACGCAGCUAGCUGCGAGAAUUAAUGUGAAUUGCAGGACACAUUGAUCAUCGACACUUCGAACGCACUUGCGGCCCCGGGUUCCUCCCGGGGCUACGCCUGUCUGAGCGUCG
rnacentral:rRNA from 14 species